GAUGAAGAACGCAGCGAAAUGCGAUACGUAAUGUGAAUUGCAGAAUUCAGUGAAUCAUCGAGUCUUUGAACGCACAUUGCGCCCCCUGGUAUUCCGGGGGGCAUGCCUGUCCGAGCGUCAUUGCUGCCCUCAAGCACGGCUUGUGUGUUGGGCCUCCGUCCUCCUCCCGGGGGACGGGCCCGAAAGGCAGCGGCGGCACCGCGUCCGGUCCUCGAGCGUAUGGGGCUUCGUCACCCGCUCUUGUAGGCCCGGCCGGCGCUUGCCGACACAUCAAUCUUUUUUCCAGGUUGACCUCGGAUCAGGUAGGGAUACCCGCUGAACUUAAGCAUAUCAAUAAGGGAGGA
rnacentral:misc_RNA from 1 species